GAUUGAACGCUGGCGGUAUGCUUAACACAUGCAAGUCGAACGGAAACGAUACUAGCUUGCUAGUAGGCGUCGAGUGGCGGACGGGUGAGUAACGCGUAGGAAUCUGCCUGAUAGUGGGGGAUAGCCCGAAGAAAUUCGGAUUAAUACCGCAUAAUCUAUUCGUAGUAAAGUGGGGGACUUUCGAGCCUCACGCUAUCAGAUGAGCCUGCGUAAGAUUAGCUUGUUGGUAGGGUAAAAGCCUACCAAGGCGACGAUCUUUAGCUGGUCUGAGAGGAUGAUCAGCCACAUCGGGACUGAGACACGGCCCGAACUCCUACGGGAGGCAGCAGUGGGGAAUAUUGGACAAUGGGGGCAACCCUGAUCCAGCAAUACCGCGUGUGUGAAGAAGGCCUGAGGGUUGUAAAGCACUUUCAAUUGUGAAGAAAAGUUAGCGGUUAAUAACCGUUAGCCUUGACGUUAACUUUAGAAGAAGCACCGGCUAACUCCGUGCCAGCAGCCGCGGUAAUACGGAGGGUGCAAGCGUUAAUCGGAAUUACUGGGCGUAAAGCGUGCGUAGGCGGUUUAUUAAGUCAGAUGUGAAAGCCCCGGGCUUAACCUGGGAACUGCAUUUGAAACUGGUCAACUAGAGUAUGGUAGAGGAAAAGUGGAAUUUCUGGUGUAGCGGUGAAAUGCGUAGAUAUCAGAAAGGAACAUCAAUGGCGAAGGCAGCUUUCUGGACCAAUACUGACGCUGAGGUACGAAAGCGUGGGUAGCAAACAGGAUUAGAUACCCUGGUAGUCCACGCCGUAAACGAUGAUAACUAGCCGUUGGGGGGAUUUACCCUUUAGUGGCGAAGCUAACGCGUUAAGUUAUCCGCCUGGGGAGUACGGCCGCAAGGUUAAAACUCAAAGGAAUUGACGGGGACCCGCACAAGCGGUGGAGCAUGUGGUUUAAUUCGAUGCAACGCGAAGAACCUUACCUGGUCUUGACAUCCUGCGAACUUUCUAGAAAUAGAUUGGUGCCUUCGGGAACGCAGUGACAGGUGCUGCAUGGCUGUCGUCAGCUCGUGUCGUGAGAUGUUGGGUUAAGUCCCGUAACGAGCGCAACCCCUAUCCUUAUUUGCCAGCACAUCAUGGUGGGAACUAUAAGGAGACUGCCGGUGAUAAACCGGAGGAAGGCGGGGACGACGUCAAGUCAUCAUGGCCCUUACGACCAGGGCUACACACGUGCUACAAUGGGAAGGACAAAGAGCCGCGAAGCCGCGAGGUGUAGCUAAUCUCAUAAACCUUUUCGUAGUCCGGAUUGGAGUCCGCAACUCGACUCCAUGAAGUCGGAAUCGCUAGUAAUCGUAGAUCAGAAUGCUCACGGUGAAUACGUUCCCGGGUCUUGUACACACCGCC
rnacentral:rRNA from 1 species